UAAGCGGAGGAAAAGAAACCAACAGGGAUUGCCUUAGUAGCGGCGAGUGAAGCGGCAAAAGCUCAAAUUUGAAAUCUGGCUCUUUCAGAGUCCGAGUUGUAAUUUGAAGAAGGUAUCUUUGGGUCUGGCUCUUGUCUAUGUUUCUUGGAACAGAACGUCACAGAGGGUGAGAAUCCCGUGCGAUGAGAUGAUCCAGGCCUAUGUAAAGUUCCUUCGAAGAGUCGAGUUGUUUGGGAAUGCAGCUCUAAGUGGGUGGUAAAUUCCAUCUAAAGCUAAAUAUUGGCGAGAGACCGAUAGCGAACAAGUACAGUGAUGGAAAGAUGAAAAGAACUUUGAAAAGAGAGUGAAAAAGUACGUGAAAUUGUUGAAAGGGAAGGGCUUGAGAUCAGACUUGGUAUUUUGUAUGUUACUUCUUCGGGGGUGGCCUCUACAGUUUAUCGGGCCAGCAUCAGUUUGGGCGGUAGGAGAAUUGCGUUGGAAUGUGGCACGGCUUCGGUUGUGUGUUAUAGCCUUCGUCGAUACUGCCAGCCUAGACUGAGGACUGCGGUUUAUACCUAGGAUGUUGGCAUAAUGAUCUUAAGUCGCCCGUCUUGAACCACGGAC
rnacentral:rRNA from 1 species